UGGCUCCGAGCGAGCGGGGCGGCCGCGAGCCAGGGCGGUGGGGGAUGGGCGCCCGCCGCGUCCUGGGCGGGUGUCUGGGUGACACCUCCUCUGCUUGCGCUAGAGUUGGCUCUCGGCUUCGCGUCUGCGAUUGGUUGCGCGGUUCAGAAAAGGCUCGGAGAUAAAUGAGGCCGGGGGCGGGCUCGGCCACCGGUGGGGGAGGGGAGCGCAGGGGCGGAGGUGUUCGGCUUGGGGAUGGGGGCGUCCCGGGCCUCGGAGGCCGGAGCCGAGAAGUCAGUGGGAAAAGUCCGUAUCUAAACGGAAACCAUUUCUUCCUGUAGUUUCCAGAGGAGGAGGAGUGGGAAAAUUACAAUAUACAAAAGUUAAGCGGGAUCCCUGGGUGGCGCAGCGGUUUGGUGCCUGCCUUUGGCCCAGGGCACGAUCCUGGAGACCUGGGAUCGAAUCCCACGUCGGGCUCCCAGUGCAUGGAGCCUGCUUCUCCCUCUGCCUCUGUCUCUGCCUCUCUCUCUCUCUGUGUGACUAUCAUAAAUAAAUAAAAAUUUAAAAAAAAAAUUUAAAAAAAAAAAAAAAAAAAAAAGUUAAGCCACAGAUUAUUAAUUUUCUUGUUAAAAUCUAAUAUCUAUGGGUUAAAAUAUUGUUCUUUUCCUUCCAAUUUUCCCAUGAAAGUUUGAAAUACAACCUAUUAAAAGCCAACAGACUUAAUGGCAUUUACAAGUACGUAAAACAGGUUUUGCUGAUUUUUUUUAAAUAAUCUUACAGAUAAAUUAAGGAUAUCAGAGAGUUUGAUUUUAUGUAUAUAUAACUGAUUAGAGGUGGAAUAUUCAAACAAAUUCAUUUUGAAAACAAUACAAUUCAAGUAACUUGCCACAGAGUGGCCUUAUCAGAGUGACUAUGCAAUGUAAUAUGAAGUUGCAAGCUUUGGAUUUUGAAUUGAGCCAUGGAUAUACAAAUAUAAAUAUGCAAAUAAAUUACUGUUUUCAAAAAUCA
rnacentral:lncRNA from 12 species